AUUGAACGCUGGCGGCAGGCCUAACACAUGCAAGUCGAACGAGUGGCGGACGGGUGAGUAAUGUCUGGGAAACUGCCUGAUGGAGGGGGAUAACUACUGGAAACGGUAGCUAAUACCGCAUACCAUCGUAUGUGCCCAGAUGGGAUUAGCUAGUAGGUGGGGUAACGCCUCACCUAGGCGACGAUCCCUAGCUGGUCUGAGAGGAUGACCAGCAACCCUGGAACUGGGCAACGGUCAAGACUCCGACGGGAGGAAGAAGUGGGGAAUAUUGGAAAAUGGGCGCAAGCUGGCUGAAGCAAUGCCGGGUGGAUGAAGAAGGCCUUCGGGUUGUAAAGUACGUUCAGCAGGGAGGCGUUACCCACAGAAGAAGCACCGGCUAACUACGUGCCAGCAGCCGCGGUAAUUC
rnacentral:rRNA from 1 species